rnacentral:lncRNA from 1 species
AAAGAGCCUAAAUCUUGUUCAAGACCUCAGUGAGGUAGGUGACCGAGCUCAAAAAAUGACUCGGCUCCUCAAGAACCGGCUGAGAUGACGAAGCGACAGUAAGGCCAAAGAGCCUGAAUCUUAUUCAAGACCUCAGUGAGGUAGGUGACCGAGCUCAGAAAAUGACUCGGCACCUCAAGAACCGGCUGAGAUGACGAAGCGACAGUAAGGCCAAAGAGCUUGAAUCUUGUUCAAGACCUCAGUGAGGUAGGUGAUCGAGCUCAGAAAACGACUCGGCAUCUCAAGAACCGACUGAGAUGAUGAAGCGACAGUAAGGCUAAAGAGCCUGAAUCUUGUUCAGGACCUCAGUGAGGUAGGCGACCGAGCUCAAAAAAUGACUCGGCACCUCAAGAACCGGCCGAGAUG